rnacentral:rRNA from 1 species
CAGUAGCCACGGUAAUACGGAGGGUGCAAGCGUUAAUCGGAAUUACUGGGCGUAAAGCGCACGCAGGCGGUUUGUUAAGUCAGAUGUGAAAUCCCCGGGCUCAACCUGGGAACUGCAUUUGAAACUGUCAGGCUGGAGUCUUGUAGAGGGGGGUGGAAUUCCAGGUGUAGCGGUGAAAUGCGUAGAGAUCUGGAGGAAUACCGGUGGCGAAGGCGGCCCCCUGGACAAAGACUGACGCUCAGGUGCGAAAGCGUGGGGAGCAAACAGGAUUAGAUACCCCUGUAGUCCCUGUCUCUUAUAC